UAAAGAAUGACGCUGACUCUGAGCCACAGGCUGAAGAGUGGGGAGUAAACUAGGGGAAAGAACAGCAACAAUUGUGUUGGAGAUCUGGGGAGACUGAAGGAGUGGAGUGGUGGGUUGUUUUAUGGGGAAGUCAAAGUUAAGGCUGGCCAGCUGAUGGUAACUGCAUGGAGGGCGAUGUUGAGAUGCAAGAAAGACUUUGACGUGAGCCUACAAUACACCUGGAAGGAUCCCACACCCAGAUGGGUAACAUCAGUCAAUGCUCAGCCCACCGGUUGCUGGGAUAUUGGGUCAGCCAGCCCUGGUUCCCUUCAGAUCACGUGAGCAUGGAACAGUCUGACCCACCUGGGAACAUGAAGCACCACUGAGAACUUACUGCUCUGCUGAAGGAAAUCAGUACAAACACAGGGAUUUUUCCAGAAAAGUCCAGUAUGAACUGAUAGGAUUCCCACUCUUCUCAGAGGGAAGCUGCAUAAUCCUGGCCCUUGGUUUGGUUGCAAAAAUAACAUCCAGUAAUGAAAUGAAAACAAGCUGAAUGGCUGCAUUGAGCGGAGGAGGGCAGAGGUAGUCUCAGACAGCUGGAGCAUGUCUGGGCCAGUGUCUCACUGCUUUUCUCCCUGCUAGUUCAGUGCCACUCCAGGAAUACAGACAAUGCUGGCUACGGCUGCUUCAUAUUUGAUUUCCACACUUAAAUUCUGCUUGUUAAGUAAAACCCCAUUGUCAGGCUGGCAGGCAGCCACGCUCCCUCCCCAGCCUUGCCUCCUAGCUUCUCUGGUUGGGUGCUCAGAGCCAUCUAGCAAAGACCAGGUCUCGCUGUUCUGGUGCUGCUUGUAGCAUCACAACAAAACCUUUGGGCCCUCAUCAAUCUGUGUCUGAGGGCGGGCAGAAGCCCUGCAGGAAAGGAACGGGGUUUGGAAUGGCCUCAGCUGGGUGCUGGGUGAGCUGUAGGCUGUGCUGGGAGAGCUGGUGGCUGGGCACAGCUCUGGGAUUACUGCUGGAUAGCCUGUGAGGAGUGGAGCUCCUGGGCUCCAUGGGACCAUUAGGUCAGGGUGGAGCAUCCCGCAGUUGUAGGAUUUGCUGGCAGGGUCCGUGGGUGGUGACAGCGCAGGGCAGGCAGAGAAGCCCUGCAGAUUGGAAGCAGAGCAGUGGCUGUGCUCGUAACAAAGGAUCGCUUCAUACCCUCUGGGAAAUACCAGGCAGGGCAUGAAAAUUAUGAAUAAUAUUAAUAAAGCUGGGAGGAUUACUAAAUCCAACAGCUGUCCAGCCCUUCGUGCAAGCACUUCUGGCCCUCCCACCCCCUCACGAGCUGGUGUUGUGGCCCAAUGUGUGCCAUUGCCUGGGCACUGCUCAGUCAGCACCAAUGGCACCCAGGCAGGCAGUGCUGUGCCCCCAGAGGAUGGCUGCAGUGUCGUGGUGGGGAGCAGCAGUGUUCUGACAGCAGAUCCUUCAACUGCCCCAGAGGAGCCCACCUCUGGACUGUAGUCAUGGAAACUGCUACGUGAGUGGAUUCAGGACUGGCUCCAAACAAAGUUAAAGGGGGGAAAAAAGCCCCAGGGGACUUCUGCAAGUGAGAAAGGUGAUGUUUUCCUCAGCAGAAUGAGGUUUGGGGAUGUCUGGAGCAGCAGCGAGGCCUCCAGCUGCUGGGAAUGGAGGGAUGGAUGCUGUGCUUCCUGCCAGCAGCUGGGCUGGUUCUGCUCUGGGCUGCCCUAACUCCUGUCUAGCCAUCUCCUCCUCUCCUGUCACAUUGUCAGUGUGCUGCUGUCAGGCCUGACCAUUGAGCUGUGAUGGGCUCACACCUCUUCUGCUCGGGGAGUGGAGCUGUGUCUGUGUGGUCUUUAACUCUGCAUGUUAUUACCAGUGCAGCAUUCACAGUUGAAGAGCAGCAAGGCAAACCUUCAGGUUCUGCUUCCUCUAAUAGCCGAAAUCAAGCUGUAUAACUUCUGUAAAGUUUUGAUCAGCCCUGAGGAUGAGAGGCCCUGACCACGUGUGCUGCAAGUUUGCCCAUUUAGUUGGAAUAGAAUAACAGCAUCUCCAUGUCCAUUCCAUCAGCCAUAUGGGUGAGGGUACCAGCAAGAACAGCCCCCAGAGGAAGCAGGCAGUUACACGUGAGGACCGAUGAUGGGGCAGGCCAAUGAAAAUGGCUUUAUGCCUCUCCGUGUGCUGCCCCUGAACUACCACUUGAAAGAAACAGCCAUCCCCAUUGGGGACGUCAGCAGAGCCACCCUGCUGGCACUGACUGGGCUUGGGGGCCCUUGCCCUGACAAACCAGGGAGCAGGGAUGGAGCCCAAGAGGGGAGAGCCCAAAGAGAACCCCAGGCAGCACAGCAAGGUUAUUUUAAGGUCUGCUUCACUCUGUCACCACUCCACACAAGCAACGUGUUUGGAUUCAGCUAUUCAUUCAAAGUGCUGUCAAAGGCACAGCAGACUUGCCUUACUCUCUCACCAGCUCUCCAUCAGGGCAGGGUGUUUCAUCCCUGCCUUUAUUUCAGAACCAAUUCUGACUGGGGAGGAGUGCCUGUAUUUUUUUUAUGAGCAGACAUAAACAGGCACACUUUCAUUCAUUGAAAUGCACCAGCAGUGACUUUCAGUAAGUGAUCUUCACAGUGUAAGCAUCUUGGGCCCACAUGUAACUUAGCUCCUCGUUUCAGGGUGGUGAAUGGAAAGGAGAACUGAAGAUGUGCUAAAAGCAAGAGUCUGCCUACGAGAAGGCAGAAAGCAGCACGAUCUGGGCUGUGCCUUCUGCUGUAGCAUAGCACAGUAUGGACACUGAUCCAGGACCUUGAGCAAUAGAGCCCUGCGGUUUGGUUUCCCUUCUGGCACACUAAUUGCGUUAGGAUCUAGGUUUAUUCAUGGCACUUUCCAUUUAUGAUUUAGGGAAUUUGAAGAAUACUGUUCUUGAGGCUGAGCCUGAAGUUAUAAUCUUGGCAUAUCCAUACUAUAAAAUUCCCGUGGAUAAAAGCAGAAACAUCUGGAUUCAUGAGUGGAUGUUGGCUAGGUCCACCAGGAAAAAAAGGCCUUCAAGGGAUCCUAGGGGGUUCUAGCCAGGAUAAAUAAUACAACAAAAUAAGAGUGCUAUUAGGAGUAACUGUAAUGCGAAAGCUGAAUUAUAAGAUGAGGGCUAAGCCCUUCUCACAAUCUGCUUUUCCAG
ensembl:lncRNA